rnacentral:ncRNA from 1 species
AAUAGAUUUCUUAUUCUUGAUUUUUUAUCUAAAUAAAAAUUACAUGUAAAUUUUAGUGAGAUGGAGAGAAAUUUUAGAGAAAAAUUUUAAUUUUGUAAGUCGCAGUAAAUGGGCUUAUUUAUUUAGGAGAUUGAGAAAUAGUUAAAGUUAAAAGUAUAAAUAAAAUUUGUGCCAGCAAUUGCGGUUAUACAGAUUAUGCAGUAAAAAAUUAUUGGUAUUAGUUAAUUGAAAUUUUGAAUGUAAGUGAUUUUUUAUUAGGUGAAAUUUUAAGUUGUUUAGAUAUUUUUAAAAGAUAAUGAAGCUAAAAAUUUUUUUGUAAGACUAGGAUUAGAUACCCUAUUAUGAAAAAUGUAAAUUAAAAGUAUUAAAUUAGUAAUAGUUAUGUUCUUGAAAAUUAAAAAAGUUGGCGGUAUCUUAGUCUGUUUAGAGGAACCUGUCCUGUAAUUGAUAAUCCACGAUUUUAUUAACUUGUUCUAGAAAUUUAUAUAUCGCCGUAGGUUGAAUAUCUUUGUAGGGCUUGAAUAUUCAAGAUUUUUAUUGAAAAGAUAGCAGGUCAAGGUGUAGUUUAUGGGUAAGAAGAGAUGGGUUACAAUAAAUAUAUUUAUACAGUGAGAUUUUUGUAAUUAAAUUUUUAAGGAGGAUUUAAGAGUAAUUUUGGAUAAAAUUUUAAAAUGAUUUAGGCUCUAAGAUAUGUACAUAUUGCCCGUCGCUUUCCCCCUAAGGUGAAAUAAGUCGUAACAAAGUAGGUGUACUGGAAAGUGUAUCUAGAAACU